rnacentral:rRNA from 1 species
GAGUUUGAUCAUGGCUCAGGAUGAACGCUGGCGGCGUGCCUAAUACAUGCAAGUCGAGCGAACGGACGAGAAGCUUGCUUCUCUGAUGUUAGCGGCGGACGGGUGAGUAACACGUGGAUAACCUACCUAUAAGACUGGGAUAACUUCGGGAAACCGGAGCUAAUACCGGAUGAUAUUUUGAACCGCAUGGUUCAAAAGUGAAAGACGGUCUUGCUGUCACUUAUAGAUGGAUCCGCGCUGCAUUAGCUAGUUGGUAGGUAACGGCUUACCAAGGCAACGAUGCAUAGCCGACCUGAGAGGGUGAUCGGCCACACUGGAACUGAGACACGGUCCAGACUCCUACGGGAGC